rnacentral:misc_RNA from 1 species
GAUGAAGAACGUAGCGAAAUGCGAUACUUGGUGUGAAUUGCAGAAUCCCGUGAACCAUCGAGUCUUUGAACGCAAGUUGCGCCCGAAGCCAUUAGGCCGAGGGCACGCCUGCCUAGGCGUCACACGUCGUUGCCCCCCCAUCUACUCCUUCGGGAUUGCGGGGGGCGGAUGAUGGCCUCCCGUGCGCCUCGUCGCGCGGUUGGCAUAAAUGCCAAGUCCUCGGCGACGCACGCCACGACAAUCGGUGGUUGCGAAACCUCGGUUGCCCGUCGUGUGCGGUCGUCGCGCAUCGAGGGCUCGAAAAAAUUGCCGGGCUCCGGCUCGGCUUUCAACGCGACCCCAGGUCAGGCGGGGUUACCCGCUGAAUUUAAGCAUAUCAAUAAGCGGAGGA